AAAUUGAAGAGUUUGAUCAUGGCUCAGAUUGAACGCUGGCGGCAGGCCUAACACAUGCAAGUCGAGCGGAAACGAGUUAACUGAACCUUCGGGGGACGUUAACGGCGUCGAGCGGCGGACGGGUGAGUAAUGCCUAGGAAAUUGCCCUGAUGUGGGGGAUAACCAUUGGAAACGAUGGCUAAUACCGCAUGAUGCCUACGGGCCAAAGAGGGGGACCUUCGGGCCUCUCGCGUCAGGAUAUGCCUAGGUGGGAUUAGCUAGUUGG
rnacentral:rRNA from 1 species